ACUGUGGCCAGGUGUGGGGCACCAGCUGCAAGCCCUUGGCCCACUCAGACCUUAUUUAAGGCCCUAGUGUGGGCUACAGGAUGGUGGUGUGUGUGGCUUGAGGUGCCAUUGCUGGUCCAGAGGCCCAGCCGAAGCCAAGCCUGGCCGCAGCUGCUACGUAGACAGAAAGCACGCGGUGGUGCUGAUGCACGGUGCCUCCCGCUGAGGACGAGGCUAUUAAUGAACUGCGUAACCAGGCAGGAGGUUAUCCAUGGAAGAAGAAGAGUAAUAUGCAAAUUUGCAAGAAAGCUUUUUAAAGUUACUUUUAUUAAGCAAAAUGUGCAAGCGUGCAUCCCUCAAGACACUGAAUGAGUGUCCCUAAAAAGGGAUUUACCAGGGAUGUUGGUGGUGAGAUUCUCUCUGGGAAACUACCAUGUUCUCCCUCCUCAUAAAUGCUCUGUUUUCAUCCAUUUCACGUUCAUGUUUUUAAGUUACGCUAUUUUCAGUCAAGACUAUGUGUUGAUGGCAUACUUGUCCUGGAAGGUGGCAGACCCUACUGAUCAGCGACACGGGCUGCAAAGCUGGCUCCUGCCUUCCCUGACAUCCAGACGCAGGAGCUGAGAGAAAUACUGUGUCUCUGGAGAUGCAGGAUCCCUGCCGAGUGGCAUUUUCUCUGCCUGAUGUAUUGCUCUGCACCUGUUGCCAAGCGAUGAGGUGCGAGCCUGCCAGCCGUGCUGCGCCCGAGGAGCGAGCCCGAUGGCACCCGCUGGGCUGCCGUGCCCUCCUGGGGACGGGGCAGCGCUUCCAGGGGUGAGCUGCUGGAACAAGAGCCGGGCCUCUUCUGCCACUCGAUGCUCUGUGUCCAUCGCAUCCGACCCCGCUGUGUGCUGCCCGUUCUGGAAGCAGUGGGCACGUUCCCUGCAGCCUGAGCGCCAGAGGAGGCUGAGCAAGUGUUCAAGUAGUAGAGACUCAACCAUGUUAAUUUGGAUAAUAUUAAGAAAGAAAAAGUAAAAAAGUUAGCACCAGUGUAUAUUUAUAGCCUGGUUAAAACUGCAUUGUGGAGCCCUGUAGCAAUGAUGUGCUGGAGGUCUGUGGUUGCUCUAACAGGUCCUGUGGUCCAAGCCACUGCAGGGGAAUGCUAAGAAGGCAGUCGUAAAGAUGUGUUUGUUUUCUAGACUCUUCAGUCUGGUCAAUUUAGUGGCUUGAAAAAGACAGAAGAGUCUUAUUCCUGUAAAUAAACCUCCACACACCUAUUUGUAAACAAACACAUAAAUCCAGGUUUAGCAACAUAGUUAAAUGCUGUUGAAAGUUCUCAGCAACUCCCCCCUUGAGGAACUGUGAGUUUCAAAACCAUGGUGAAAAAAAGUCUUGCAGCUGCAAUGGUAUCAAGAUGAGCCCAAGCUUCGUUAGAACUAAUGCCAUUUGUUUAAAAAUAGAAAUAUUAUGCAGUCUUUCAGCAGCAGAAAUGAAAUAAGCUAUUAAAGGAUUAUGAUUCUGUGACUUCA